UGGAGAUUAUGAAUGUCUUACCCUGGC
rnacentral:piRNA from 1 species